rnacentral:rRNA from 1 species
UACGGAGGGUGCGAGCGUUGUCCGGAAUCAUUGGGCGUAAAGGGCGCGUAGGUGGCCCGGUCAGUUCGUGGUGAAAGCGCGGGGCUCAACUCCGCGUCGGCCAUGAAUACUGCUGGGCUGGAGCACUGUAGAGGCAGGCGGAAUUCCGGGUGUAGCGGUGGAAUGCGUAGAGAUCCGGAAGAGCACCGGUGGCGAAGGCGGCCUGCUGGGCAGUGGCUGACACUGAGGCGCGACAGCGUGGGGAGCAAACAGG